AUGCAAAAUAUAUUUUUUAUUGUCUUUUUGUUUUUUGUUUUUUUAGAAUUCUGGAGGUCCCAUCUAAAUAUUCGUGGGCCUCGGGAUGUGGUGAAACCCCAAAAGGAUGAGAACCAGCAACAUCAGCAGCAGCAGCAGCCAGACUCUACUGCUGCAGCACAGACCAGUUCUGAUUCUGCUGCCCAGCCUCACGCCAGUAACCAACUCAGGACAGUCCCUGAGUCAGACACGGGUGGCAAACGGGCAGCUUCCAGUCCCACUGUGUUCCAAACGUUCUGUCCCAUCACGACGCGCAGCCCCAAAGAGCUGGACUGCGGCUCCGGCCUGGGCGCCCUCUGUUUCAUCAACCCCCUUUUCCUUCAGUCUCAGGACCCGAUGUCCAGACGGCGCAUGUUCCAGCGCAGCGCCAAGGUUCGGGUCUCUACAGAAACGGAAACUCUCUUAUCUCCCCCAAUGGUGCCACCACCUCCACCGCCACUAAUGCCCAAAAAGCGGCAGUGCAAAGCCCAGAAAGCAGGACAGGGCCUUUUGCCGUGCCAGAACUCAUGUCAGCUCACUCAGAACGAGUUCUUCAGUCAGGACACUGAGCCCAAACCUGUGACACAAACACUAGAUGAUUCCCAGGAGGCAGAACUUCAGCCUCCACCAGCAACUACUCACUUCCAGCCCGAGCUGAAGGAGCAGGACCAAGGUAAAGCUCAAGCUGGAUCGGAAGAACUACGAACAGAAACAGAACAACUCCUGGACGACUCUGACUACAAGCAGCCGUCAGCCAUUAUUUCUUCCCAGUCGCCGUCACUCUCUCCUUACUUGUCACCUAUGGCACCCCCCCCUUUCCCCAAAAACUCGGCGUGCGCUUCACCCUCCCUGUCGCCUCAUCAGUCGCCGUCUCCGUCCCGUCAGGUCCCCUUCUCCCUGUCUCCCUUCACCUCUCCAUCCUUUCCUCGCCUGACCAAGGAGCAUUAUUGCACAGCAAACACUCAUUCAAGCACAGAUCAGCAAAACGUAGAGUGUGAACCUGAGGAAGAGGCAGCAAGUACAGAUGAACUUAAGGGUGAGGACACUGAACCAAAUAAGGAGCUGGAAAAAACAGAGGAUCUGGUUUUACACACGAAUGCCUGUUGUAUUAAUAAUAGUCCUUCAUGA
rnacentral:lncRNA from 1 species